UUUCACCUGUGUCCCUUGCUCACACCUGUUGCUCGUUACCCAGUGUGCAUUUAUCUGUGUGUUUCCUGUCUGCUUUGUGGGAUCAUUGUGUCUUUCCUGCUCCCGCCUUUGUUAAUUACCCUGCGUGACAGUUACAAAGAAUACUCUCAGUAGGAACAUUCUCCGUCAUUGGUGAACAGGUGUUUUUUCAGAUCCAUGUCCUCUGCUCUGAAAGAAGGCAUAUUCUCGUGGGACCGCUUCAAAUCUCCCUAAGAUUUUGGAUUGGAUUUGACAGUCCUGCACUGUGACUCAACUCUUCUCCUCUCCAGACAGAAACUGACCUAAGUGGAGGUUUUGAGCCGAGCUAAGGAACACUUCACAUCCCGGACGUCAAAGGAUAAAUUCUGAAACCACUUCAGUCCGAGAAAAUCAGAGACUUCCUUUGUAGCUUGAAUGUUAUGUAAUAAUUUAACUCGUAUGUUACUGAACUUGAUGCUUUUUUUACUCAAAAAAUGGCAGCAUUGACGCAAUGAUUAUCUCUAAUAUCUGCAAAACCCUUUUCCUUGCCAUUGCUGGAUCGAUUACUUUUGAUGCCUUCAUCAGUUAACUCUCCUACUCUUCUCAGUUUAAUCUAUCAAAAAUACUGAAACUUCAUUAGAGAACACAGCCUUGAACGAGCUGCUCUUGCUAUAGUUUAGCGCCUCAGGUACUCAGCCAAUGGGAAUAAUACACACGUUAACAUCUACCUAAAACUGAUGAGCAGUUUCCUCUGAUGCAAUGUAAACUUUUUUACAUGACCUACUCAAACAGUUAACCAUUUAAUUGUCUUCAGAGCAAUGAAACAAUGUUACCCAGCUUUCUUACUGAUGCUUGAUUCUUAUUGGUCAAAACCCCUUGACGAUGGUUAUUAACUUUCACUAA